CCUAGACAGCAUUUUUGGGCUUUUAAAUCAGCUACGCUCACGUGUCACUCAUCAUAGCUGUUUUAGAACCUUAUUUCUCAAUUCCCCUAGAGUUCCCUACGAUGUCCAAAAUGCCUCACGUGUUCGCGAAGCCCAAAAGUGCAGUCUAGCUAGACAGCUCACUAGGUUUUGAAACGCGUCCUCUCUGUGGCCACCAUUUUGGAGGUGAGUGUGUAGAGUUGGAGGAAGUGCUCUGAGAGCAGCGCUUGAGCUCUUCCUGCAGUUGCAGGGAUGAAUGCAUGAAUGCGAGAGAAGAAAAUGGCGAUCGAGCAGGACAAAUGUUUCCCCUCCUAGACUACAAAUGUGUUGAAUUUCUAUAGCCUUAUUAUUUGCUUUCAUUUCAUCUCUACUGCACUUUAAACUACAAGAGAGAAUUGGAUGCUAUUGCCACCAAAGACAUUGAAGAGAAGCAACACAGGGAAAUCAUUCGAAACACUGAUGGAGAGUGGACGGAGGAAAGUGUAGAGCUCAUUGGAAUGACGAUAAGGAAGAAGGGGCUGGUAUAAAGGUAGGAAUUAUUGUCUGUUUAUGGGACUUAAAAUGG
rnacentral:lncRNA from 1 species